rnacentral:rRNA from 1 species
AUUGAACGCUGGCGGCAGGCCUAACACCUGCAAGUCGAACGAGUGGCGGACGGGUGAGUAAUGUCUGGGAAACUGCCCGAUGGAGGGGGAUAACUACUGGAAACGGUAGCUAAUACCGCAUACCAUCGGAUGUGCCCAGAUGGGAUUAGCUAGUAGGUGGGGUAAUGGCUCACCUAGGCGACGCUCCCUAGCAGGGCUGAGAGGAUGACCAGUCACACUGGAACUGAGACACGGUCCAGACUCCGACGGGAGGCAGCAGUGGGGAAUAUUGCACAAUGGGCGCAAGCCUGAUGCAGCCAUGCCGCGUGUGUGAAGAAGGCCUUCGGGUUGUAAAGCACUUUCAGCGAGGAGGCGUUACUCGCAGAAGAAGCACCGGCUAACUCCGUGCCAGCAGCCGCGGUAAUUC